rnacentral:ncRNA from 1 species
GAAAAUGCAUGGAUAAGAACCAGUAGCAGCAAGCAUCCGUACAGAGAGGCGCCGAUUGGUGAGAGGCCCGCGGGAAACUUCCUGUGAAUACAUCUUUGAGCUUUGCACCGAACAUCAUCCGGUCAGUAGGCUGCAACGGAAGGACCUCCGUUAUACGGGUCAGAGUAUAGAUUUUCUGUACUUACAGAGGCAGAAGGUGCGAGCCUUCUGUGAAAUUAGGUGGUAUCACGGAACCUGGCUUCCGUCCUAUAA